UACGUAGGUCCCGAGCGUUAUCCGGAAUUAUUGGGCGUAAAGAGCAUGUAGGCGGUAAAUUAAGUCUGGUGUGAAAUCUAGUGGCUCAACCACUAAAUUGCAUUGGAAACUGAUUAACUAGAAUACUGGAGGGGCAAGUGGAAUUCCAUGUGUAGCGGUGGAAUGCGUAGAUAUAUGGAGGAACACCAAUGGCGAAGGCAGCUUGCUGGACAGAGAUUGACGCUGAGAUGCGAAAGCGUGGGGAGCAAACAGG
rnacentral:rRNA from 1 species